rfam:Schistosoma curassoni strain Dakar, Senegal genome assembly, scaffold: SCTD_contig0004505
AUCCAACUGACGAGUCCUAAACAAGACGAAACGCGCGUUUUAGAU